rnacentral:lncRNA from 1 species
GUUCGGUUGCGCGGCCGGUUAACAGGCCGGUUCGGCCCAUUUGGCCGGGCCGGCCUCGGUUUUGUUUUCUUCUUUUCCUUUUUUUUCCCUUUUCUGUUUUUGAACACCAAAAUUGAUUCAAAGCCCCAAAUCGCUCCAAAUAAAUUGCAAUUUUUUUUGUAAAAUCAUAUCUUCAUAUGAUCUAACUUUUGGGACAAGAAUUCCCUCAAAAUAAAAUAUUUAAAAAUACUUUUGCCUAUAAAUUAGCCUUUAAGGCCUUUUAAACUACCAAAAUAAUUUGUUUUUCAAAACAAACUCAAGAGCCAAAUUAUGGGAU